AGAGCGAACGCUGGCGGCAGGCCUAAUACAUGCAAGUCGAACGGACCCUUCGGGGUUAGUGGCGGACGGGUGAGUAACACGUGGGAACGUGCCCUUUGGUUCGGAACAACUCAGGGAAACUUGAGCUAAUACCGAAUGUGCCCCCAUCCUUAAACAAGAUGGGUGGGAAAGAUUUAUCGCCAUUGGAGCGGCCCGCGUCUGAUUAGCUAGUUGGUGGGGUAAAGGCUCACCAAGGCGACGAUCAGUAGCUGGUUUGAGAGAGCGACCAGCCACACUGGGACUGAGAAACGGCCCAGACUCCUACGGGAGGCAGCAGUGAGGAAUUUUCCGCAAUGGGCGAAAGCCUGACGGAGCGACGCCGCGUGUGGGAAGAAGGCCUUCGGGUCGUAAACCACUGUCGAAGGGACGAUAAUGACGGUACCCUUGGAGGAAGCCCCGGCUAACUACGUGCCAGCAGCCGC
rnacentral:rRNA from 1 species